rnacentral:rRNA from 1 species
GAUGAACGCUGACAGAAUGCUUAACACAUGCAAGUCUAUGAGAAGAUCUACUUCGGUAGAAGGUAUCAUGGCGGACGGGUGAGUAACGCGUAAAGAACUUGCCUCUUAGACUGGGAUAACAGAUGGAAACGUCUGAUAAGACUAGAUAUAAUAGCGACAUGGCAUCAUGUUGUUAUGAAAGGUAACACUAAGAGAGAGCUUUGCGUCCUAUUAGUUAGUUGGUGAGGUAAUGGCUCACCAAGACGAUGAUAGGUAGCCGGCCUGAGAGGGUGAACGGCCACAAGGGGACUGAGAUACGGCCCUUACUCUUACGGGAGGCAGCAGUGGGGAAUAUUGGACAAUGGAGGAAACUCUGAUCCAGCAAUUCUGUGUGCACGAUGAAGGUUUUCGGAUCGUAAAGUGCUUUCAGUAGGGAAAAGAAAGUGACGGUACCUACAGAAGAAGCGACGGCUAAAUACGUGCCAGCAGCCGCGGUAAA